GAUGAACGCUGGCGGCGUGCCUAAUACAUGCAAGUCGAGCGAACAGACGAGGAGCUUGCUCCUCUGACGUUAGCGGCGGACGGGUGAGUAACACGUGGAUAACCUACCUAUAAGACUGGGAUAACUUCGGGAAACCGGAGCUAAUACCGGAUAAUAUAUUGAACCGCAUGGUUCAAUAGUGAAAGACGGUUUUGCUGUCACUUAUAGAUGGAUCCGCGCCGCAUUAGCUAGUUGGUAAGGUAACGGCUUACCAAGGCAACGAUGCGUAGCCGACCUGAGAGGGUGAUCGGCCACACUGGAAUUGAGACACGGUCCUGACUCCUACGGGAGGUAGCAGUGGGGAAUCUGCCGCAAUGGGCGAAAGCCUUACGGAGCAACGCCGCGGGAGUGAUGCAGGCCUUCGGAUCGUAAAACUCUGUUAUUAGGGAAGAAAAAAUGUGUAAGUAAAUAUGCACGUCUUGACGGUACCUAAUCAGAAAGCCACGGCUAACUACGUG
rnacentral:rRNA from 1 species